UACGUAGGGGCAAGCGUUGUCCGGAUUUAUUGGGCGUAAAGAGCGUGUAGGCGGCCUGAAAGGUCAGCUGUGAAACUCGAGGCUCAACCUCGAGACGUCGGUUGAAACCAUCUGGCUAGAGUCCGGAAGAGGAGUGUGGAAUUCCGGUGUAGCGGUGAAUGCGCAGAUAUCAGAGAACACCGUGCGAAGGCGCUCUCUGGUACGUGACUGACGCUGAGACGCGAAGCGUGGGAGCGAACAGG
rnacentral:rRNA from 1 species